rnacentral:sRNA from 1 species
GACAGAAUGGAGUUGAACAGCCGUGUC